ACCACAUGUGGUAAAAAGAUUCCAUCUGUAUACUGGUAGCUAGCUAGCUAGGACUGGAGAGCUGCAGAACAUGGGGAACACCUGUUUUGCAAACUCUGUAUCUAAAUUAGUGAUCCAAAUGAUGAUGGUAUGGUUUGUGCUUUGAAAAAUCUCUACAAUGAAUGUCAGCAAAAUUUUGUCGUGUGUCCAUCAGCUGUAUGUUCUGAUAUGAAAAGGUUAAGGUUAUUAGGAGACCAAAUCAGCAAGAAGAUGCCCACGAGUUUUUGCUGGGGACACUUGAAUUUAUAUGACCUCGAAAUAAAAAAGUUUGGGUAUAAAAUUAAUUUAGUAAAAUUCGUAGCUCAUCACUGGCCUUCAAUGCUUGAGAGUGCAAUGAUGAAUACAAUAUGGUCAAUACAAUAUGGUCAUCUGGUAUGUAAAGUAGAUCUGACGAUAUUUGUAUUAUGCUCAACAUGCAAUGCAGUGCAAUGACUUUAUGCAACGUACUGCCAUUACCAAUUGCACCAACAUUCAAGUUGAAAUGAAAGUAGGCGACUCUUAUUGAUCUUAUAUAUAAUUACGCUGUUUAUGCAAAUAAAAUUUAUUCAGGAUGUAAAUAUCGAAUAGUGCUCAGAACACACUUUUCGCGAAAAACACUGUUUAAGCUUAUACAUUAACGUAACCAAUAUUACUGUAAUACGUAUGUAAAAGCUUUUUGACAUUUAGAUAAAAUAAUUAUUAAGGGUACUUAUAUUUAAUACUCACAGCUGUUGUGCUCCAAGGGACUGCUUGUGAACAGACUGAGAGUGCAUGAUUUGAGUGAGACAUCUGAUGUUUUAGUACUGCUAAGGAGGUAUACAUAAUAAUGAUGAUGAUAUUAGAGCCUAUCAACAACAAAAGAGGUAUCGCUUUACUGUGAUGGUCAAAAGCAUUGUCAUACAUAAAAUUAUAAUGGUACGCGUGCCUAUUGCACUUGCCACAUCCUUGCAAAAUGUCACAAGUGCAUGUUAUGAAAUAUUUGCACACCAAACAUGGCGUGGGCAAUGUAUACAGUGACACACGGGGCACCCACUGAUCAUUGACAAUAGUCAUCACUGCAUGUUUCACUACCUACACAAAACGGUGAGUUUCCAGAUGGUUUUUUAUUCUCUACAGUUUUACAUAAGCAUACAGACAUUACAAGGCACAUGAGGACUCUUUCGGAGAAGAAUGGCCGAAUGGCCCAACUAUUCGAUUAAGAUAUAUCACAUACAAAAACCAGCAACCGACCAAAUGCCCUGGACAUGGAACACCCAAAGCAAUAAGAUGUAAAGAGUGGCAUUGCACAUUCAGCUGUAGCCGUCUACACUCCCUCAGAAGGCACCUUAAUGACGAGCACGCAUUUUGUAUGGACAUUAAGAUUUAAUACAAUUGAUGUAAUCACACUCUAACUAUAUUCACAGUUUGA